UACGGGGGGGGCAAGCGUUGUUCGGAAUUACUGGGCGUAAAGGGCUCGUAGGCGGCCCACUAAGUCGGAUGUGAAAUCCCCAGGCUUAACCUGGGAACUGCAUCCGAUACUGGAUGGCUUGAAUCCGGGAGAGGGAUGCGGAAUUCCAGGUGUAGCGGUGAAAUGCGUAGAUAUCUGGAGGAACACCGGUGGCGAAGGCGGCAUCCUGGACCGGCAUUGACGCUGAGGAGCGAAAGCCAGGGGAGCAAACGGG
rnacentral:rRNA from 1 species